AUUGAACGCUGGCGGCAUGCCUUACACAUGCAAGUCGAACGGCAGCACGGGUGCUUGCCCCUGGUGGCGAGUGGCGAACGGGUGAGUAAUACAUCGGAACAUGUCCUGUAGUGGGGGAUAGCCCGGCGAAAGCCGGAUUAAUACCGCAUACGAACUACGGAUGAAAGCGGGGGACCUUCGGGCCUCGCGCUAUAGGGUUGGCCGAUGGCUGAUUAGCUAGUUGGUGGGGUAAAGGCCUACCAAGGCGACGAUCAGUAGCUGGUCUGAGAGGACGACCAGCCACACUGGGACUGAGACACGGCCCAGACUCCUACGGGAGGCAGCAGUGGGGAAUUUUGGACAAUGGGCGAAAGCCUGAUCCAGCAAUGCCGCGUGUGUGAAGAAGGCCUUCGGGUUGUAAAGCACUUUUGUCCGGAAAGAAAUCCUUGGCUCUAAUACAGUCGGGGGAUGACGGUACCGGAAGAAUAAGCACCGGCUAACUACGUG
rnacentral:rRNA from 1 species